rnacentral:rRNA from 1 species
UACGUAGGGUGCAAGCGUUGUCCGGAAUUAUUGGGCGUAAAGGGCUCGUAGGCGGUCCAUCACGUCGGGAGUGAAAAGCUGGGGCUUAACCCCAGUCCUGCUUCCGAUACGGGUGGACUAGAGGUAGGUAGGGGAGAACGGAAUUCCUGGUGUAGCGGUGAAAUGCGCAGAUAUCAGGAGGAACACCUAUGGCGAAGGCAGCUCGCUGGGACGUUACUGACGCUGAGACGCGAAAGCGUGGGGAGCAAACAGG